AUUGAACGCUGGCGGCAGGCCUAACACAUGCAAGUCGAGCGAGCGGCGGACGGGUGAGUAAUGUAUGGGGACUGCCCGAUAGAGGGGGAUAACUACUGGAAACGGUAGCUACUACCGCAUACUAUCGGAUAACCCAUAUGGGAUUAGCUAGUAGUUGAGGUAAUGGCUCACCUAGGCGACGAUCCCUAGCUGGUCUGAGAGGAUGAUCAGCCACCAGGGGACUGAGACACGGCCCAGACUCCUACGGAGGCAGCAGUGGGUAAUAUUGCACAAGGGCGGCAAGCCUGAUGCAGCCAUGCCGCUUGUAGGAAGAAGGCCGUAGGGUUUGAAAGUACUUUCAGUCGGGAGGCGUUACCGACAGAAGAAGCACCGGCUAACUCCGUGCCAGCAGCCGCGGUAAUUC
rnacentral:rRNA from 1 species